UCAGCCCUGCCUCGUUCGCUGACAGGCGACAUGUCUCUGACCCAUUAGUGAACUGUUGAAGGGAGUUCGAAUACGCCCCGGCCCGGACGCCCUCGCGGGCAACCGCCUGAGGGAACUGGAAACGGGCGGAUAGAGCACCCACCUCGUUUCGGCGAGGUACAGAGACAGAAUGCCUAUACGGCGAGGCGGGGCCUUU
rnacentral:other from 1 species